AUCGGGUCACUAUUAAAACAUUUUCCUCAGACCCCUGAGUUUCCCAGUGCCCUUCUUUCCUACAUAAGUAGGUGCUUCCAUUGAACAUUUCUUUCAUUUGAAGCAUCAAAUUCCACGUGGGUCCUUGAUCUCUCGGUUCCCAUUCCAGUGCUUAUAAUAGUCUCUCUCAUAGAGUAUCACACCCCAUAUCCCACGUUCUGACAUCAUCACAGCCUUGAAGUCUAGAGCCUUCCUUUCUUCUAAAGUCCACCAUCCUUUUCUCUCUGAUCUUAAAUUUCCCAGAUUUCCAAGAUAUCCGUGGCUUUCUUAUCGGUGACCAGUGACAUGUUUAACCAGAAGGAUAAGCUCACCAACUAGAUUGGAAGAGGAUAGGAUAUGGGAAGUUGUAAAAUUCACAAGUGUGCAGAGGGCAGUGGGGGAGUGGGGCCUGGAGGUGGGGGAACAUGAGGGGAUCAUCAGUCCCAGGAAGGGAUUGGUCAGAGGACAUGGAGAUCUGAAGCAGUGGAGGAUGGAAGACUCUGGGUUUGCCUGGCUUUAGUCCACUCACCUGCUACAUCACCUUUGGCAAAAUGCUACCAUUUAGAAUCCUGACUCUUUUCAACUGAAACCAAAAGGAUCCCCCUUCUCCCAGGAUGACUUCCUGAUUUCCAUCCUGCCAUCCCUCAAGGAAAUUGACACCAUGGUCUCCAUUUUUACCCUAAAUGAUAAUCUCACAGAAGUACAGGCCCUGGUUGAAAGGAUGAGGGAGAAGAGCCAGAACAUCCAGGCCCUGGUGCACAGCACUGUGGGGCAGUCCUUGCCAGCCCUGCUAAAGAAACUCUUUCCCUCGCUCAUCAGCAUCACAUGGCCACUUCUUUUCUUCGAUUACAAAGGGAGCUACGUUCAGGUAGGCGGGCAUGAGAAGGCAAUGUUUCCUAA